UGGCUGCUGGGGGCAUUGCCUUUAAGCAAUAGUUGGAAUGUUUGGAGAAUCAAAGUUCAAGAUGUUCCCAGAAGCUUGCUUACUAUCCUUCAGGAUAUUUAUACAAGAAUCCCAGGCAACAGGAGCAAAUAAAUAACAGGAGACCUUUAAAUCCACGUGAGAAGGGUCUUCUCAUCCCUUCUUCAAAGCAUGCUCACAUUUGCUGGCUGUUGAAGAAGUCUGGAUGAUCAUCUUGACAUAUGGCUCCACGCAAAGACAGAGGAGUGAAGAUUCUGAAAAGGGAAAGGCCUGGAAGGGAGAGGAAGAGCAGCGAAAAUGAAGGGAAGAUGUUGAAGGUUCAGUGAGGAAUAUGGAGAAGCUCAGUCAUAUACUGAUUUGUGGCAGAAGCGCAGAAAGGAAAUGUUUAGCUCUGGAAAGCCGUUCCAAAGAGGGAAUGAAAAGCACCAGCAGUAUCAAAUGGAGCCGCCCGCUGCAGGGUUCGGCGGGGAGCGCGGAACGGAGGAGCGCCAACCGGUCCCAGCCGGCUCCGAGCACCGGUGACAACACGUGGCGCGUGGCCCCGCCCAGCAAUAGCGGUCCGGCACGCGGACCCGCCCAGCAGUAACGGUCUGGCACGCGGCGGCAACGGCACGUGGCAGUUGGCCCCGCCCAGCAAUAAGGGUCCGGCACGCGGCCCCGCCCAGCAGUAGC